UACGAAGGGUGCAAACGUUGCCCGGAAUUAUUGGGCGUAAAGCGCACGUAGGCGGCAUUGCAAGUCCCAUGUGAAAUCCCACGGCUUAACCGUGGAAGUGCAUGGGAAACUGCAGUGCUUGAGUACUUAAGAGGAUCGCGGAAUUCCCGGUGUAGAGGUGAAAUUCGUAGAUAUCGGGAGGAACACCAGUGGCGAAGGCGGCGAUCUGGGAAGAUACUGACGCUGAGGUGCGAAAGCGUGGGGAGCAAACAGG
rnacentral:rRNA from 1 species